rnacentral:rRNA from 1 species
GGAGUUGCUCCCUACGAUGACUGAUACAUGCAAGUCGAACGAUGAACCACUUCGGUGGGGAUUAGUGGCGAACGGGUGAGUAACACGUGGGCAAUCUGCCCUGCACUCUGGGACAAGCCCUGGAAACGGGGUCUAAUACCGGAUACUGAUCCUCGCAGGCAUCUGCGAGGUUCGAAAGCUCCGGCGGUGCAGGAUGAGCCCGCGGCCUAUCAGCUAGUUGGUGAGGUAACGGCUCACCAAGGCGACGACGGGUAGCCGGCCUGAGAGGGCGACCGGCCACACUGGGACUGAGACACGGCCCAGACUCCUACGGGAGGCAGCAGUGGGGAAUAUUGCACAAUGGGCGAAAGCCUGAUGCAGCGACGCCGCGUGAGGGAUGACGGCCUUCGGGUUGUAAACCUCUUUCAGCAGGGAAGAAGCGAAAGUGACGGUACCUGCAGAAGAAGCGCCGGCUAACUACGUGCCAGCAGCCGCGGUAAUACGUAGGGCGCAAGCGUUGUCCGGAAUUAUUGGGCGUAAAGAGCUCGUAGGCGGCUUGUCACGUCGGUUGUGAAAGCCCGGGGCUUAACCCCGGGUCUGCAGUCGAUACGGGCAGGCUAGAGUUCGGUAGGGGAGAUCGGAAUUCCUGGUGUAGCGGUGAAAUGCGCAGAUAUCAGGAGGAACACCGGUGGCGAAGGCGGAUCUCUGGGCCGAUACUGACGCUGAGGAGCGAAAGCGUGGGGAGCGAACAGGAUUAGAUACCCUGGUAGUCCACGCCGUAAACGGUGGGCACUAGGUGUGGGCAACAUUCCACGUUGUCCGUGCCGCAGCUAACGCAUUAAGUGCCCCGCCUGGGGAGUACGCCGCAAGGCUAAAACUCAAAGGAAUGACGGGGGCCCGCACAAGCGGCGGAGCAUGUGGCUUAAUUCGACGCAACGCGAAGAACCUUACCUAGGCUUGACAUACACCGGAAAACCCUGGAGACAGGGUCCUCCUUGUUGUCGGUGUAGCAAGGUGAUGGCA